GGGUCAGUUGGCUGGUCGUGCCACCGGUACGUACUGGUCUCACUGAUUCCUCCUUCCUGAAGAACCGUAAUGCCAUUAAUUUGGUGUUGCGGGGAAACAGGACUGUUACUUUGAAAGGAUUAGAGUGUUUAAAGCAAGCUAACGCUUGAAUACAUUAGCAUGGAAUAAUGAAAUAGGACGAUCGAUCCUAUUUUGUUGGUUUCUAGGAUUGACGUA
rnacentral:rRNA from 1 species